rnacentral:rRNA from 1 species
UACAGAGGGUGCGAGCGUUAAUCGGAGUUACUGGGUGUAAAGGGCGCGUAGGCGGCAGGAUGUGAGCGAUGUGAAAGCCCCGGGCUUAACCUGGGAAGUGCAUUGCAGACUAUCCAGCUAGAGUACAUGAGAGGGUGGCGGAAUUUCCGGUGUAGCGGUGAAAUGCGUAGAGAUCGGAAGGAACGUCAAUGGCGAAGGCAGCCACCUGGCAUGAUACUGACGCUGAGGCGCGAAAGCCAGGGGAGCAAACGGG